UCUUGGUUGAUCCUGCCGGACCCUACUGCUAUCGGGNGUGGGACUAAGACAUGCGAGUCGAGCGUCUCUAGCUAUGGUGAGACGCGGCAGACGGCUCAGUAACACGUGGCUAACCUACCCUCAGGACAGGGACAAACCCGGGAAACUGGGGCUAAUACCCGAUAGGCGAGGGCGCCUGGAAUGGUUCUUCACCCAAAGGGCUUUGGAAGCAUGCUUUUCAAAGUCGCCUGAGGAUGGGGCCGCGUCCGAUCAGGUUGUUGGUGAGGUAAUGGCUCACCAAGCCUAUAACCGGUACGGGCCGUGAGAGCGGUAGCCCGGAGAUGGGCACUGAGACAAGGGCCCAGGCCCUACGGGGCGCAGCAGUCGCGAAAACUCCGCAAUGCACGAAAGUGUGACGGGGCUACCCCGAGUGCCGUCCGCUGAGGAUGGCUUUUCCUCUGUGUAACUAGCCGGGGGGAAUAAGGAGAGGGCAAGACUGGUGUCAGCCGGCGCGGUAA
rnacentral:rRNA from 1 species